GCCAGCAGCCAUAUCAUCCUGCAACUCAUAAGUGAAAACCCGCUGAUGCUAAGCAGGCAUGAUCCGGGUCAGUACCUGGAAUGGGAGGCCUCAUGGAAAAGCUAAGGUUGCUGCUGGAA
rnacentral:rRNA from 1 species